GGGGGGGGUAAUGACUCUAACCAGUCCCUCAUUUACCUGGGGCCCAGGGAGACAGGGGGGGUAAUGACUCUAACCAGUUCCCUCAUUUACCUGGGGCCCAGGGAGACAGGGGUGGGUAAUGACUCUAACCAGUCCUCUCAUUUAGCCGAGGCCCAGGGUAAUGACUCUAACCAGUCCUCUCAUUUAGCCGAGGCCCGGGGUAAUGACUCUAACCAGUCCUCUCAUUUAGCCGAGGCCCAGGGUAAUGACUCCUCACCUUUCUGUGUUGUGAUAGAGGGGUUUGUUUUCUCCUAUUGGUCGUUGGAAUAAUAUUGUUCACUCAAUGGACAAUGCUCAUGUGUCUGUCCUUUUUAUUGGUCUUUCUGUACGAACUAUGAUUUGUUUUACCGUCGUGACUCUGCUCUCUGGUUGGUUAUUAGGCGCUACCAGGGAGGUCGCUAGGAGGAAGCUUCCUCAGAGCAUGUCCUUAGUAGAGGCUGAGAGGCAACAGAUCCUGGACGAGAUGAGGAAGAGGACCGCUCUGCUGACUGACAACAGCUGGAUACGACAACGCUCCACCUCUGACUACAACAAACAACCAACUAACCGGCGAGGGCCAAUGAGGAGGUACGACUCUCUGGAACACCUUCCCUCUUCCACCACCCUGCUCUCUAACCCCCAACGCCCCCACUCCUCCCUGGGUUUCGCCGCCCCGUACCGUCCCCCCUCCUCCCGGCACAGCAUGAGUGUGGCCCUGGGGGGUUCUCCAACGGGACUCAGAAGCACAGCCCUACCUGGCCCGCCCCUUCAGCACAUCUUCCCCCCCGGCCAACACGGAGAGGAACCCGUCACCGCGGAAUCACGACCCGCUCACCAGCAGAGCACCACCGUAAUGGACCAAUCAGGACUGUGUUGUAUGUUUAAAAGUGCAAUUUGAAAGCGUUCCGAGACCUUGACUUUGUUACAUUACAGCCUGUUCAAAAAUGGAUUAUUAAAUCGUUUCUUCCCCCCCUCAUCAAUCUACACACAAUACCCAUAAUGACAUCACAUACCCCAUAAUGCCAUCACACAUACCCCAUAGUGACAUCACAAUACCCCAUAAUGACAACAUUUUUUCACAUUUAUUAAAGAUUACACAUUACUUAAGUAUUCAGACCCUUUAUCAGGACUUCGUUGAAGGCAUCUUUGGCAGCG
rnacentral:lncRNA from 1 species